UACGGGAGGCAGCAGUGAGGAAUAUUGGUCAAUGGGCGCAAGCCUGAUGCAGCGACGCCGCGUGAGGGAUGACGGCCUUCGGGUUGUAAACCUCUGUUAGCAGGGAAGAAGAGAGAUUGACGGUACCUGCAGAGAAAGCGCCGGCUAACUACGUGCCAGCAGCCGCGGUAAU
rnacentral:rRNA from 1 species